rnacentral:miRNA from 1 species
GAGUAAAAAUGUGAACCGAAU